UUGCCCCAGGGCCGGAAGCAGGGUGUGAAAAGUGCGCGUGCAGCGUGCCAGAGCGCGCCUUCGCGGCUACUGGUUUGCGGGCCGUCGUUUUUGCGUGGGGUAGGCUCCUGACAAACCCACAAGCAGAGCUAGCCUCUCCGAUGCCGGGAAAUCGUGCGGGGUCCCAGCCCAGGUCUCGGGGCCCGCAGCAGUCCAGGCAGACGAGCGCACGACAACGGUAAUGGCAGGUGAACUUGCAGUCUGCAGAAAGGGCUGGCCGUGAGGCGGAGGAGCUCAGCGAAGUGACCCACUGACAGGGGGCCUCCGCCCGACGGGUUUGGGCUUGACUGGCUUUUUCUCAAGCUCGGUUAUGGCCCCCCGCAACACAGAUUUUAGAGUCGUCAGUCCGAAGUACCUCUGGAAACCGACUGGAAGGCCUCAGGAACUUAAAGAUCUAACCCUGCUAACCCCGCAGAGCUAUUACUUCACUUUGCCAUUAACUUGAAAACAAAAGCGCUUAAUUACGACUUCCUC